UCUUUGCUUUUGUCUUUGCUCCUGCCGCUCCUCCAGACAUGGAUGAAGGGGACAAUAACACCAGCCUUCAGGCUGUGGUGACAGGAGCUGGGACCCCCAUCCUGCAGUUUGUGGAGGACAGGAUCCAGACCACCAUGCUGACUGGAAUUGCAAUUGGAGCUGCAGUUGCACUGUUGCUUAUAGCAGUUGUUGUGUUUGUGGUGUACAGAAGAGUGAGACAGUCCAGU